rnacentral:rRNA from 1 species
AAAGCGCGCGCAGGCGGUCUUUUAAGUCUGAUGUGAAAGCCCCCGGCUCAACCGGGGAGGGUCAUUGGAAACUGGGAGACUUGAGUACAGAAGAGGAGAGUGGAAUUCCACGUGUAGCGGUGAAAUGCGUAGAUAUGUGGAGGAACACCAGUGGCGAAGGCGACUCUCUGGUCUGUAACUGACGCUGAGGCGCGAAAGCGUGGGGAGCAAACAGGAUUAGAUACCCUGGUAGUCCACGCCGUAAACGAUGAGUGCUAGGUGUUAGGGGUUUCGAUGCCCUUAGUGCCGAAGUUAACACAUUAAGCACUCCGCCUGGGGAGUACGACCGCAAGGUUGAAACUCAAAGGAAUUGACGGGGGCCCGCACAAGCAGUGGAGCAUGUGGUUUAAUUCGAAGCAACGCGAAGAACCUUACCAGGUCUUGACAUCCUUUGACAAUCCUAGAGAUAGGACUUUCCCCUUCGGGGGACAAAGUGACAGGUGGUGCAUGGUUGUCGUCAGCUCGUGUCGUGAGAUGUUGGGUUAAGUCCCGCAACGAGCGCAACCCUUGAUCUUAGUUGCCAGCAUUUAGUUGGGCACUCUAAGGUGACUGCCGGUGACAAACCGGAGGAAGGUGGGGACGACGUCAAAUCAUCAUGCCCCUUAUGACCUGGGCUACACACGUGCUACAAUGGAUGGUUCCAAAGAGCAGCAAAACCGCGAGGUCGAGCCAAUCUCAUAAAGCCAUUCUCAGUUCGGAUUGUAGGUUGCAACUCGCCUACAUGAAGCCGGAAUUGCUAG